GAUACACUGAACAUUGAAGUACUGGUCAACAUGAGUCUUGUUAUCAGUUUUAGUGGUUGUUUUCAGGGAAUAACAGACCUCUGAAUGUUGUGACGAGAAUCAAGUAUUUUAGAGAGCUGUGUAACAAUAACCAGUAAGUAACAGUCUUAUGUCUGUAUUUUUCCCUAGGUUCAAUAUUGUAAUAUUUGGUGGGAUUGAUGGUUUCUCGAGGAAGAUCCUGUAUCUUGAUGCUGCUACCAACAACAAAGCAUCAACAGCUUUCAAAUUCUUUCUGGAGGGGGUUCAAAAACACGGGUGGCCUUCAAGAGUACGUGGUGACCAAGGAGUUGAAAACGUGGACAUAGCACGUUGCAUGUUUUCAGUACGAGGAACUGGCCGAGGCAGCUUUAUUGCUGGAAAAAGUGUUCACAAUCAAAGAAUUGAGCGUCUGUGGUGUGAUGUUUGGUCAGCUGUCACUUCUAAGUACUACGACCUCAGAUCAGAACCUUGCUGUUUUGCAUGGAUUAAUUAAUCCCUUGACAUCACCGUUGA